UACGUAGGGUGCAAGCGUUGUCCGGAAUUAUUGGGCGUAAAGAGCGUGUAGGCGGCCCGACCAGUCCGCUGUGAAAGUCCAGGGCUCAACCCUGGAAAGCCGGUGGAUACUGUCGGGCUCGAGUCCGGAAGAGGCGAGUGGAAUUCCUGGUGUAGCGGUGGAAUGCGCAGAUAUCAGGAGGAACACCAAUGGCGAAGGCAGCUCGCUGGGACGUGACUGACGCUGAGACGCGAAAGCGUGGGGAGCAAACAGG
rnacentral:rRNA from 1 species